UAUAUAUAUAUAUAUAUAUACACAUAUAUAUAACAUGUAUAUUAUAUACAUACGUAUAUAAUAAUUUUCCACAUGGCACGAUAGUUCUAUUCACAUAUUAUUAUUCGAUUUCCUUCAGAAGAAGGAGAAAAAGGAGAAGGGGAAGAAGAAGCAACGGUUGUCGGUGUAAAUGUCUAUCGAUCGCUGAUAAUCUACGAUCGAGACAUCUGAUGGCAGCAAGUUAUGUAAUGGGACGACAAGCAGGAAAUAAAAUCGACUUGUAAUGUCAUGACGCAUCUUGCGGCAAAGCCAAAGUCACGCACAAUACACGAAACGACAGAUAAUACUAAUCUUAGAAGAAAUCAGAAUUGAAGAGAUUGAAAUGUACAACGUGCGAACGUGUGCGAUAUCUUUGAAGCUGGAUUUCUCAGUGCUACGAAGUUGACGAAUGUGCUAAGAUCACUCAAGUGACUGGCAGAUUGUUCGCUAGCAUUCUCAGCGGUGGUCCACGCUUACCACAGUUUCAAUCGAUAGAUUCUGAUCUUAAACGAACGCUUUGCCACGCCUUUCGCAAAAUAAGAUUUCUAGCUGAUCCUGAUUUGAACUUUGAUAUAGUCUAGUUUGCGAUUAAACGAUUUAUUGCGAUUUGUAUAUCUCUGUUUAGUGGUUCAAUAUGUAUGUACAAUCACGAAUAGUAUUUAUAUAAUUAUAUAUAUCUAUAUAUGUAUGU